rnacentral:tRNA from 1 species
UCCCUGGUGGCUCAGUGGUAGAGAAUCCGUCCGCUAAUGCAAGAGACCCAGGUUCAAUCCCUGGUCUGGGAA